rnacentral:tRNA from 1 species
UCCCUGGCUGUCCAGUGAUUAGGACUUGGCACUUUCACUGGCAUGACCUGGGUUCGAUCCCUGGCUAGGGAA